rnacentral:rRNA from 1 species
GGAGUCGAGUAUGAAUGGGUUUACGGAAACAAGCUGUCUCUUUUUGGUUAUAUUGAAGUUUCUUUAAGGGUGCAAAGUCCCUUGGUUAGAAAAAAGACGAGAAGACCCUUAGAGUUUUUACUAAAGAUAAAAAUUUAUUUAAGUUUUUGCUGGGGCGGCAAAGAGACAAAUAGUUAACUCUCUUUUUAUUGUUUUUAGAAGACGAAAAUGUUAAGAAUCAUUAAACUACCUUAGGGAUAACAGCAUAAUUAAGUUUUAGUUUGUGACCUCGAUGUUGGACUAGGAAGACUUUUGACCAGCAGUCAA